CGGCGCCUGGUUCUGGCCACCCCCGGCGCGGCCGCCUUGAGCGAUAGGGUGUGUGUGCCCCCCCUAGUGCUUGGAAAGUGGGAGGCCUGGCGAAAUCUCUCGCGGCGUGUUUGGUGUGUAACCGCCUAACUUUACGGUAGCACGGAGGCACAAAGAUCUGGGUUGAAGAGGCGAAAGCUGAUUUAAAAAAGGAACCUCCCUACCCGCGGGUAUUAAACUGUACCGUUUGCCUUUCACACACUACUGCUUUAACCGUUGAUUCGCGGUUUUGAUUCAUCAGCUUUUUAUGUGUGAAGUCAGAGGCAUUCUUUUGCUUGCAUCUUGUAAGUGAGCAAUGAGAAAAUGUCAUCCUCAAGGAGCAGAAACAGAUAGUAAAUAAAAUGGUAUUUAAACGGACGCUGAUCAGACUGUCUGCUGUACAGGAAAUCGAAACAAAACUUAAGUGGGAAUAAAGAAGGUGAGAAGGUAAUUUAAGAUCUCUUUCACCCAAAUGAGUCUAUCACUGAACAUCUUAUUAUGUAAGAAUAUUACAUAUAAAUGUAGAAAAAUAAACCAUUUUGGGGAACAAUUUCAAAUACGUGACCAAAUUCCCAGUUACUUAACUCAUUUGUGUGGAAAAGGUUCUACUAUUCACAUUUUUUAGGGGGAAGAAAACAAGUAAAACUGGAGAUGAAAUGGUUUAAAAAUUAAACCAGGACCUGUUAUUUACAAAUAUUUGAUUAGUGCUAAAAAGAUUGUGAAACAAUUAAUCUAACCCUAACGCUAACCCUAACCCUAAUCCUUUAUAAAUUGUUUCAACUUGUUUAAAAAAAUUUACCUUUUUUAACCUCUUGCUCUUCCAUAAAUAGUUAAUGCUGCUAGUUAUUUCCUCCCCAUUUCCCACAGGCUUCAAGUCUACAAAUUUUCAAGUUUUAGUGUAUAUCAGAAUCAAUUGAAAGACUUUUUAAAAAUGCAUAUUUAAAGGUCACAGCACCAGAAAUUCUGAUUGGGUGUAUCAGGGUAUAUGGGAAACCCGUAUUUUGACGAGUACUCUAAGUGAUUCUAGGGAAAUGAUUUCUGGACCACACUUGGUACAAUAUUGGUCCUGACCCCGUGCUGCAUGUAUAGGUAACUCGCUUCUGGUAGCAAAAGUGCCACUUGGAUCUCUACACCUCAUUUUUAUUAAAAUAAUUUCUUUUAGAUGAAUAUUUUAUAUAAUAGAAAUACAAAACUGUUAGACUGAAAGAAUAGAAACACCAAAUCUAGAGCUUUUCUUUAGCUUGGUAAUUAUGAAUCAAAUAAUCUUUGCUUUUAUAAAAAAUAAGCUUUUGGGGAAGAUUUAAUUUGCCCCCAGGGAUUUAUGCAACUUGCUUUGGGGAGGCAGUCUAGCAUUUAGUUAUUUUCAAGGAAAUAAUCACUUUAAAAAAAGAGCUGAUUUCUAAUUACUCUUUCUGGAGUGAUAGAAUAAAUCAGUUAUUUAGAAACUACAGUUAGAGAUGAGGAGCUCCUAAGUGAUUUGUGCUUGUUUUGACAUCCUGACCAUACACUAAAAUAAUGUGCUUUCAGAUCUGUUUCUUUUUCUAAUAGAUAUAAUUCUUGAAUUAUAGAUAUAAUAGAAUUGUGUUAAUUCAGCAUAUUUUCUUAACCCUAUGUCCUAUGAUAGAAAUUAAAAUGAGAGUAAA